GUGACUAGGAGCGAUGGGCCUACUGGAAUCUCCACUUCUGCGUGUUUAAACCUGCAAUCCAUCCCUAACAUACUCCUCGAAAGAGAAGACAUUUACUGUCCCAUUUGGACCAAGAAAUCUUACUAUCGUCGCCACUUUCACUUAGCCAAGUAAUUCUGUGAGCUUCCACACAUGCCAUUCCCUGAUUUAUACCCAACUUAUGUACCCAGAAAGCUAUUUGUCCAGUACGUGGAUGAGUAUGAAGCCA